AUUGAACGCUGGCGGCAGGCCUAACACAUGCAAGUCGAGCGGAAGAAGGGGGCUUGCUCCUGGAUUCAGCGGCGGACGGGUGAGUAAUGCCUAGGAAUCUGCCUGGUAGUGGGGGAUAACGUCCGGAAACGGGCGCUAAUACCGCAUACGUCCUGAGGGAGAAAGUGGGGGAUCUUCGGACCUCACGCUAUCAGAUGAGCCUAGGUCGGAUUAGCUAGUUGGUGGGGUAAAGGCCUACCAAGGCGACGAUCCGUAACUGGUCUGAGAGGAUGAUCAGUCACACUGGAACUGAGACACGGUCCAGACUCCUACGGGAGGCAGCAGUGGGGAAUAUUGGACAAUGGGCGAAAGCCUGAUCCAGCCAUGCCGCGUGUGUGAAGAAGGUCUUCGGAUUGUAAAGCACUUUAAGUUGGGAGGAAGGGAAGUAAGUUAAUACCUGGCUGUUUUGACGUUACCAACAGAAUAAGCACCGGCUAACUUCGUG
rnacentral:rRNA from 1 species